rnacentral:tRNA from 1 species
CCGGGAUAGCUCAGUUGGUAGAGCAAGGAC